UACGGAGGAUGCAAGCGUUAUCCGGAAUCAUUGGGCGUAAAGCGUCCGCAGGUGGUUAUUCAAGUCUUUUGUCAAAGCGUGUGGCUCAACCACAUAUGGGCGGAGGAAACUGAAUGACUUGAGUGCGAUAGGGGUUACGGGAAUUCCCGGUGUAGCGGUGAAAUGCGUAGAGAUCAGGAAGAACACCGGUGGCGAAAGCGCUCUGCUAGGUCGCACCUGACACUGAUCCACGAAAGCUAGGGGAGCGAAUGGG
rnacentral:rRNA from 1 species